rnacentral:rRNA from 1 species
CAAUAGCGUAUAUUAACGUUGUUGCAGUUAAAAAGCUCGUAGUUGGAUUUCUGGUGGGUUGAGCCUACCUUUCUCCUUUGGAGAUUGCGUGUGGCUGUUAACCUCACCAUCUUUGUGAAGAAUUGCUUUGGGAUUCAUUUCUCGAGGUAACAAUUUGCAUCAUUUACUGUGAAAAAUUAGAGUGUUUAAAGCAGGCAUUUCGCUUCUGAAUACAUUAGCAUGGAAUAAUAAGAUAGGAUCUCGAGUACUAUUUUGUUGGUUUGUAUACCGAGAUAAUGAUUAACAGGGACAGUUGGGGGUAUUCGUAUUUAAUUGUCAGAGGUGAAAUUCUUGGAUUUAUGAAAGACGAACUACUGCGAAAGCAUUUACCAAGGAUGUUUUCAUUAAUCAAGAACGAAAGUUAGGGGAUCGAAGACGAUCAGAUACCGU